UACGUAGGGGGCGAGCGUUGUCCGGAUUUAUUGGGCGUAAAGAGCUCGUAGGCGGUUUGGCAAGUCGGGUGUGAAAACUCCGGGCUCAACUCGGAGACGCCACUCGAUACUGCUAUGACUCGAGUCCGGUAGGGGAGUGCGGAAUUCCUGGUGUAGCGGUGAAAUGCGCAGAUAUCAGGAGGAACACCGGUGGCGAAGGCGGCACUCUGGGCCGGUACUGACACUGAGAGACGAAAGCUAGGGGAGCGAAUGGG
rnacentral:rRNA from 1 species